AAAAUUCCAGACAAUGGGCCUUAUGAAUUGUUUGGUAAUGAUUGAUGCAUUUUCUAAAUGGGUUGAAACAGUCUCAGCAAAGCAUGUGGAUGCUUUAACAGUAGCUAAGGCUAUUUGUAAAACUAUUAUUCCAACACAUGGCAUCCCACAAACUGUUUAUAGUGACAAUGGACCACAUUUUGUAAACCAAGUGAUACAAAAUAUGGCUACUCAUUUAGGAAUGACAUUAAAAAAUCAUUGUUCGUACCGACCACAAAGUGCCGGCCUCAUUGAAAGAGCCAAUGGAACUGUAAAAAGCAGAUUACGAAAAUGCAUGGCAGAUACUGGCCGGGCCUGGCCUGAAUGCUUAGAUUUGGUGAAGCUUUAUAUGAGGAUCACCCCGACAGCUGAUGGACUAACACCAUUUGAAAUAAUUCAUGGAAGACCAUAUAGAUUACUGAUGUUUUCUUCAGAUUUACAGAAAGCAGAUGAGGAGCAAACAUUAGCAGAUUAUGAUCAGGACUCUAAGACAGAAAGAGGUGUCAAAUGCAAAUUUACUGCCCUCUGACUCUGCUCUCCCACAGGAAACCCCUCCCAUCAAGCCAGGAGACUGGGUUUAUGUCAAAGUCAUAAAAAGAAAGAACUGGGCCAGUCCACGGUGGGAGGGACCAUUCCAAGUGCUGAUCACUGAUCACCACACCAAUAGCUGUAAAGAUUGCUGAAAGACCCAGCUGGAUACAUCUCAGUCACUGUAAGCUGCAGAGAGUGUUUGAUCCCUAAAGUCGGAGUAGAGAGGAAGGAGAGCUUUUUAAAAGCUCCCGGGGUAAGCAGGGGGGCUACAUUAUAGUUGUAGUUCGUCUGGAACCCGGUGAAGAAACGCUAAGAUUCUCACUCCUUUAGUUUGGGGGUUCUGACAUCCCUGCACGCCGAGCAGCAAUGGGGUCUUCACAUGCCAGGUGGAUCCUCUACUGUGUUGUGACUGCAGCAUGUCAACUGUUUUGCAGAGGGAGUGGUCUCACUCUCAACAGGAUAAGGAGAGAAGCAGACACAUCCUCCCUCCAGUUUCAUCCGCAUGACUGUGGUGGAAACUGAUGAAUAGAACCGCUUAUGAGGGACAUGCUGUGAACUGAUACGUGUGUGCGCAGCUGCCGGUUCCAUACAUAACUCAGGUAUACGACCAGGUAACAUUACUGACGACAAACAGAUGUGUCUCUAUGUUCUAAGCACCAUACCACGGCGUAUCUCACCCCUAAGAGGAGACAGACCACAUGAGGAGGACUAUUCAGUUGACCUCCGGAUGGGAGAGGCUGUGCAAAGCCUAUUUCAAUCUUUAAAUUGUUCACUCGCAGAUGAUGUACUUCCUUUUUCAUCUUCUCAACAAACUGGACGGUGCCCUGGAACUUGUGUAACAGAGUUUACACCUACUGCGAACCGACACAGGAUUUCAUCACCUGCACAUCCUGCAGGGGUCAAGAGACGACUCCACGCUGCAAAGUCUGGAAGGACAACCCAGACUGUGACAACCUGCUUCAGGAGAGGAGUUUCAACAUCACGCAUAAGACAAAGAGGAGACAGGAGACAACACUGUGUAGCGACAUAGUGCCAGGAGAUUAUGGCUCCCGGAUGUUGGCAGACUGGUACUUCAUAUGCGGAAAUGAAGCGUACAUGUUCCUGCCGAAAAAUUGGGGAGGACUGUGUGCUGUGGUCCCUUUGAUCAACCCGAUUGCGUUCAUCAGGAAAGCACAGAAUGAUCUAUACACCCGCUCUAAACGAACAGUUAUGUCAGAGGUCAAAAGAUGGGGAGGCCUCACAACACAUACUGGAGUUCCAUGGGAAUUCCGGAUUUGGAGCGGGAGAAAAAAAAAUUCAUGCAAAGCCUUUUUCCGUGGGUUGGUCUAGGAGAGAUUCGGGACCACGUUGAGAUAAACAGGUACGGAUUACUGCGACUAAUCAACAUCACAUACCAACUGGCCAAUGGCACUAUGAAAGAAAUGGCUGAACUGAGAAACAUGGUUAUGCAAAAUCGUGUUGUCCUGGACUUCCUCACUGCCCCUCAGGGAGGGGUCUGUAAGAUCAUUGGCCCAACGUGCUGUACUUAUGUGCCUGACGAAACAGGAACUGGAGGAACUAUUUCUGACGCUCUAUAUGAGCUGGAAGAUUUAAAACAGUCUUAUGAGUCGACUGAAGAUGACUUGUUCCAAGUUUCUGACGAUUUUCUGAACAAUGAUGAAUUUCUGUAAUCAAUAAACAGAUGACUUCAUUUGCUGCAUGACUCCUACACCGAAACUGUGAAAACAAGUGGUGUUCUGGAUGAAAGAAAAAACUGCAUUUGAUUUUUGCUGUUUCUUUUAUUUUUCAUUUAUUACAUUAUAUUCCAUUUAUUCAUUGUAUUUUCUGUUUAGGUUAGAAAAAAAAAAAAAUCUUGCAUUUAUUGGUCUUUUUCUUCUUUUUCUUUUUUCUUUUCUAUGCUUAGCUUUUGCAUAAAGUUUAUACACAUAGUAAAAUGAUAAAAAGGGGGGAAUGUUAGAGAAUUUUCGGUAUUAUCAUUUUGUUAUUACUUUAGUUAAAAUUCAGUCUGUUUAAAGUGUUCUUUUGAAUGUCUGUUUAUCUUCUGACCUGGAGGACAGGAAUGUCUGUUUAUCUUCUGACCUGGAGGUCAGGAAUGUCUGUUGUUCUUUGCUGAUUGAUUAGGUUACAUGUUUUACGACCUCUGCCCCUUGGCUGUUUUUCUUUGACAAUAAAACAGGAGCUCGGGUGGAAGGAGAUCAGAACUCUCUCUGAACGGCUUGGAGAAGCUGUUUCGGAGACUUCUCCUUUUGCAAAAGCUUUGUCAUAAAAUUCA